rnacentral:rRNA from 1 species
CUAUACAUGCAGUCGAGCGAACAGAUAAGGAGCUUGCUCCUUUGACGUUAGCGGCGGACGGGUGAGUAACACGUGGGUAACCUACCUAUAAGACUGGGAUAACUUCGGGAAACCGGAGCUAAUACCGGAUAACAUUUGGAACCGCAUGGUUCUAAAGUGAAAGAUGGUUUUGCUAUCACUUAUAGAUGGACCCGCGCCGUAUUAGCUAGUUGGUAAGGUAACGGCUUACCAAGGCGACGAUACGUAGCCGACCUGAGAGGGUGAUCGGCCACACUGGAACUGAGACACGGUCCAGACUCCUACGGGAGGCAGCAGUAGGGAAUCUUCCGCAAUGGGCGAAAGCCUGACGGAGCAACGCCGCGUGAGUGAUGAAGGGUUUCGGCUCGUAAAACUCUGUUAUUAGGGAAGAACAAACGUGUAAGUAACUGUGCACGUCUUGACGGUACCUAAUCAGAAAGCCACGGCUAACUACGUGCCAGCAGCGGCCGGUAAUA